ACAAACGCUGGCGGCGUGCCUAAUACAUGCAAGUCGAACGGGGAAAGUAGCAAUAUGAGUACUAGUGGCGCACGGGUGAGUAACGCGUGGAUAAUCUGCCUUGAAGAGGGGGAUAACUAGUCGAAAGAUUAGCUAAUACCGCAUAAGACCACAAGAACUGAGGUUCAAGGGGUCAAAGGUUUUUCGCUUCAAGAUGAGUCCGCGUAAGAUUAGCUAGUUGGUGAGGUAAUGGCUCACCAAGGCAACGAUCUUUAACUGGUCUGAGAGGAUGAUCAGUCACACUGGAACUGAGACACGGUCCAGACUCCUACGGGAGGCAGCAGUAGGGAAUAUUGCACAAUGGAGGAAACUCUGAUGCAGCGACGCCGCGUGAGUGAUGAAGGCCUUCGGGUCGUAAAGCUCUGUCGCAGGGGAAUAACACAAUGAAUGUACCCUGUAAGAAAGGAUCGGCUAACUUCGUG
rnacentral:rRNA from 1 species